AAUACAUGCAAGUCGAGCGAAGUCUUCGGACUUAGCGGCGGACGGGUGAGUAACGCGUGGGAACAUACCCUUUGGUACGGAAUAGCCUCGGGAAACUGAGAGUAAUACCAUAUACGCCCUUCGGGGGAAAGAUUUAUCGGUGAAGGAUUGGCCCGCGUAAGAUUAGAUAGUUGGUGGGGUAAUGGCCUACCAAGUCUACGAUCUUUAGCUGGUUUGAGAGGAUGAUCAGCCACACUGGAACUGAGACACGGUCCAGACUCC
rnacentral:rRNA from 1 species